rnacentral:rRNA from 1 species
AGACGGAGGGUCCUAGCGUUGUUCGGAAUGACUGGGCGUAAAGGGUACGUAGGCGGUUUGGUCAGUUAGAUGUGAAAGCCCAGGGCUCAACCUUGGAACUGCAUUUAAUACUGCCAAACUUGAGAUCGGAAGAGGAAAGCGGAAUUUCUAGUGUAGAGGUGAAAUUCGUAGAUAUUAGAAGGAACAUCAGAGGCGAAGGCGGCUUUCUGGUCCGAUACUGACGCUGAGGUACGAAAGCGUGGGGAGCAAACAGGAUUAGAUACCCUAGUAGUCC